CUUCUUUGAUGGUUGCUUCCCGCUUGAUAGGUGAGGGUCAUUAGAUCCUUGUGUCCGAUACGAAGUGGUGAGAGGGUUUGGUGGUCCUGUUGGAUUUUCUUAGCGGUGUGGAGCACCCGACUUUUCUUCUACUUGGAAGCAUCAACAUCUCGCAUAUGUAACCAAACCUAAUGUAGCCUCAUUUUAGUAACUAAACCCUAAAAAGUUAACAUCGUAAGAGACUCUGCACGCAUCCUUGAGCAUCUGAUGACAGCUUGUUCAUCAGAAGCUAUUUGAUGAUAGCUAGCUCACCAUCAGAUCAAAUCUGGUAACAACUAGUUUGCUAUC
rnacentral:lncRNA from 1 species